GGAUCUCUGGUUGGAGAUUCCUCUCAUGGGGAGUUUCCCUUGCAAGCCUACAUCUUCAGAGACAGGGCUUGAGGAGAACAACUUGCACAUUUAUGUCCAGGAUUUUUGGUCUAAUGUCUUUUUCUUUCUGCUAACUCAUUUAUUAUAUGUCUACUCACCACCCUGUGCAAGAGCUGAGCUGGGAGUCCACCAGGUAUUUUGCCAUCCCCAGCCAGACCAAACUUGAAGGAACGGAUAGAGGUCCUGCAGUCCACUGAUCACUGGGGAGGGAAUAUCAGUUUGUGUCCUGCUCAGGAAUUGUAUCUGCACUGAAAUAGAAGAGAAAACCUUAGAAACCUU